AAUGCAACGCAAUCCCUAACUUCUUUCUCAUUUUCAUUUUUCACCCACGCAGACGCAAUCCCCUUCCCUCUCAUUGGUGUCCGUCGCGGUGGUGCCACAGGUGGUGGUCGUCGAUCGUUCUUUGGCAGUGGUGGUCGACGUUGGUGCCAGCCGUUCCGUGGUGGUCGAGCCGCAAUCCCCAACCUAGUUCUCUUCUCAUUUUAAUUUUCGACCCACACAGACGCAGUCCCCUUCCCUCUCACUGGUGUCCGUCGCGGUGGUGCCACAGGUGGUGGUCGUCGAUCGUUCUUUGGCGGCGGUGGUCGACGUUGGUGCCGGCCGUUCCGUGGUGGUCGAGCCGCAAUCCCCAACCUAGUUCUCUUCUCAUUUUAAUUUUCGACCCACACAAACGCAGUCCCCUUCCCUCUCACUGGUGUCCGUCGCGGUGGUGCCACAGGUGGUGGUCGUCGAUCGUUCUUUGGCGGCGGUGGUCGACGUUGGUGCCGGCCGUUUCGUGGUGGUCGAGCCGCAAUCCCCAACCUAGUUCUCUUCUCAUUUUAAUUUUCGACCCACACAGACUCAAUUCCCUUCCCUCUCUCACUGGUGUCCGUCGCGGUGGUGCAUAGAGGUGGUGGUCGUCGGUCGUUCUUUGGCGGCGGUGGUCGACGUUGGUGUCGGCCGUUCCGUGGUGGUCGAGUCGACGCUUCUUCUGCUCCUGCUGCUCCUCUGCUUAGCCACUCUCACUCGGUGAAGUUGCGAUUGAACACCCAUCAAUGUGGAGUUCGUCCUUGCUCUGUAUAAAGAUAUAACUGUUCUGUUAAGUGAGUCUGCAUUUAGCAUUGGUGGUCACGUGCUUAACAAGUAUCGAUCUAAUCUUCUUCCUGACAAUGUUCAAGCACUGAUUUUAACUCAAAAUUGGUUACAUGGAUUUGAAAAUAUUGAUGAAGAUAAUGAAGAUGAUCAAAAGGAAGAGGAAGUUGUUCUAGACUUUUCAAUCCAUGACUCCAAUGCACCUCAUGUGUAGUAAUUCUAGAUCAGGGCAACCACCAGAUUUGAAGAAUCAUUUAGCAGCUGCCAAAUUAUGUUUUUUGCAAGGGGAAGGUUUUGUUUUUUUGCAGUUCGUGUAGGACAAGAUUUUGAGAACUGCACAUGUUAGAAGAGUGGCAAAGGGAGAUAGAUAAAGCAAUUGGAAGAUGACAAGAUUCAAACAUGAACCAAAUUUUUUGAAUUACCACGAUAAAGAUGUGUACUAUUUUCAUUUAUGUUUUGUUGAAUACAAUGAUAGAAAUUUCCUAGUAUGAGCCUUGUAGUGAGCAUGAUGGAAACACAUUGGUACUUGAUUUUAUUGUAAUUAUCAUCU